rnacentral:rRNA from 1 species
GAAAUGGAUUAGUGGCGCACGGGUGAGUAACGCAUAGGUAAUAUGCCUCAUAGUCUAGGAUAGCCACUGGAAACGGUGAUUAAUACUGGAUACUCCCUACGGGGGAAAGUUUUUCGCUAUGAGAUUAGCCUAUGUCCUAUCAGCUUGUUGGUGAGGUAAUGGCUUACCAAGGCUAUGACGGGUAUCCGGCCUGAGAGGGUGAUCGGACACACUGGAACUGAGACACGGUCCAGACUCCUACGGGAGGCAGCAGUAGGGAAUAUUGCUCAAUGGGGGAAACCCUGAAGCAGCAACGCCGCGUGGAGGAUGAAGGUUUUAGGAUUGUAAACUCCUUUUGUUAGAGAAGAUU